UCACAGAAUGUUUUAUCUGGGUUUAUUCCCGGGUUUUAGAUAUUUGUUCCAGAUUGGUCAGUUCCUUAAAAAAAAGGUGACACUUGAGUAGAAGGCAAAAACUUUGUCCUAGGAAGAGGAACUUCGUCCUUCACCUGUUUAAUGAAGUUUGAGCCAGAAAAAUGAAGUUCUUGGGGUGCAACAAGUACUUUCACAUUAAGUAGUACACAAUGACACAGGAACAGACACUUUCAAACCAGGAACAGAAUGUCAUCAUUACUGUAAUUAGUCAGACCUUGUUGUAUGGCCAUAUGUGCAAACAGAUUUCAUGGUGUACUUGUGCCAGGGAAAAACAGGAUGAUGUUGCGGAGUUAUACAUGUUGGUUUCUCAUUGGGUGUAUGCUGACAACAUGGGUACAGUUUAGUAAAUGGCAAAAAUUUACUACUGGCUGGUGGGACAUGGAUGUGCUGGAGAGGAAUGUAAAUACUGAGAGCCAAGGUCAUGCAGGUGGCUAAUACAAACAGCCAUGUAUAACCUAGUAACAGCACCCUGUAGUUCAAUGCCACAAGUACACAACCAAAUUUUUCUGGAUAGAUGGCCAGGCAGCUAGGCUGUAAAAAUAGUCGAAAAUCACAAAGCGCUGGCUGAAAAGUGUGUGUUCCUGUUUGAUUGUGUACUGCUGACUUGGGCAGAAGUGGUCCUACCUCACGAGGCUUGUUUGUGUGGGGUAUACUCCAUGAAACAUCUGGAGGACAGUUUUUCUGGCCAGGACAAAGAACAAAACUUUUGUAGAAAUCCUCAUAUCUAUAUACAGUAGAGUCUCACUUAUCCAACACUCGCUUAUCCAACGUUCUGGGUUAUCCAACGUAUUUUUGUAGUCAAUGUUUUCAAUACAUCGUGAUAUUUUGGUGUUAAAUUCGUAAAUACAGUAAUUACUACAUAGCAUUACUGUAUAUUGAACUACUUUUUCUGUCAGAUUUGUUGUAUAAGAUGAUGUUUUGGUGCUUAAUUUGUAAAAUCAUAACCUAAUUUGAUAUUUAAUAAGCUUUUCCUUAAUCCCUCCUUAUUAUCCAACAUAUUCGCUUAUCCAACGUUCUGCCGGCCCGUUUAUGUUGGAUAAGUGAGACUCUACUGUAUUUGCAUCCCAAGGCUUAAAAAAAAAGUUGCUGAGGUUUCUGGAGGAAGUCUCUUGUCGGCCAUCUUGGGAGCCUCUAAAUCUUCGAACAAAGCAGCAGGUCUGGACAACGGAGGCAGAAAUUCCAGAACAGAUUUGGUAGAGCAACUACCAUAUCGAUAUGGAUUCAGAAAGGGACCAUCGCGGGAGCCUGGAGCCCCUUUGUUACCAUAAGAAUGCAGUUCCGAACCAGUGCUGCCCAUUCCGUUGCUAAGGUGGGGCAACUACCCGAUGUAUGUACAUGGAUUCAGAAAGGGACCAUCGCUUCCCUGGAGCCUGUUGUGCCUUUGUUUUCACCGUUGCCAUAAGAAUGCAGUUCUGAAUCAGAUCAGUGCUGCCCAUUCCGUUGGUGACGCAGAAGAGAUAGGCAGUUGCUUUAGUUCUUCUGUUGAAGAAGGAACAUUUCAUCUUGCCCAGAUAGCCUUGAGAAGAUUGGUCAAAAACAUCUGGAAGUUAUGUGGAAACUGUUUGACUUGCUGUUGGAGGAGGAGGUCAAUCAAAGUAUACCCCAUAAGGAAAGCCCUUCAUCUUUCUAUUCAGUACUCUGCAAUAAGCUCAAGAGUCCUCCUCCUCCUCCGUGAACAGCACAUUGGACACUUGGGCAAGGAAGGAAAGGCAGGAGCUUUGUACUUCUGUGAAGAGAGGGGAUACAGCAUUUCUGGAUGGUAUCAGCUUUGCAGCGGGGCCGGGACGAAAGGAGUGAGGGCCCCAUUUGAGAGGAGUCGUACAAAUCCUGAUGCACCCUGACUAGGGGAGGAGACAAUGACAGUAUGGACGCAUUUUGGAGGCAGCUUUCCCAGGCAUUGUGGUAACUUCUCACUUUUUGGGGCGCACCCAGACAGCAUCUAAAAUGCACACCUUCCCGUAUUUUUCCCUGGGGCGUCCAAAGAACUCCUCAGCGAACCAACACCACUGGAGUUAGAGGAUUUGGAGUAUGUCAAGGGUGGGGUAACUACCCGAUGUAUGUACAUGGAUUCAGAAAGGGACCAUAGCUUCCCUGGAGCCUGGUGUGCCUUUGUUUACACCGUUGCCAUGAGAAUGCCGUUCUGAAUCAGAUCAGUGCUGCCCAUUCCGUUGGUGACGCAGAAGAGAUAGGCAGUUGCUUUAGUUAUUCUGUUGAAGAAGGAACAUUUCAUCUUGCCCAGAUAGCCUUGAGAAGAUUGGUCAAAAACAUCUGGAAGUUAUGUGGAAACUGUUUGACUUGCUGUUGGAGGAGGAGGUCGAUCAAAGUAUACCCCAUAAGGAAAGCCCUUCCUCUUUCUAUUCAGGUUGCUUUUCUUACAUGAAGAAAUCAGUAUCCCAAGUGUUUGGGAAUUAAGCCCAUUCUUGUUUGAGGAAUUUCUUGUAAUAUCCCAUGGCUUUGUUUCCAGAAUUUUUAAGGCCUUUUGACAUAUCCACUACCUUUGAUAGUAGGACCCUUCGUGAGUGUCACAUUUCCAACAUUUAUUAUUUUCACCUUCAUACUUUUUAUAUGGGGGGAAGGGAUUAAAUAUCAUUUUAUUUCAUUGAGUAAACCUUUAUCCCUUUUGCUUCAUUUUCUGCAUUUCUCCAAUUCCAUAUUAUAGGCAGAAUUCUGAAUUUGAUUCUUGAAUAUUUCUCCCAAGGUUAAUGUCUUUUAUGAGGAGCAUUGAAAGACUAUUACUCAUAAAGGACAUUAAUUCACUGGUUCUUUACUAAGCAUCCUGUAGUAAACCUUGAUCCCCCUACCCUGUACUGCUGCAUUUAGUCCAUCCACCCACAGGGUUGUUGCUCACAUUUUGCUGUUUUGUUUUAUCCUCUAGUACUCUGCAAUAAGCUCAAGAGUCCUCCUCCUCCUCCUCCUCCUCCUCCUCCUCCUCCUCCGUGAACAGCACAUUGGACACUUGGGCAAGGAAGGAAAGGCAGGAGCUUUGUACUUCUGUGAAGAGAGGGGAUACAGUCAGAGGCGGUUCAACUACCAGGCCAACUAGGCAGUUAGCUGUGGCACCAUCUUGUUGGGGGCGCCAUCAAGGCAACUCCUGUCUCCUGCGGCCUGCCUCCGCAAGUGCACCCUGACUAGGGGAGGAGACAAUGACAGUAUGGACGCAUUUUGGAGGCAGCUUUCCCAGGAAUUGUGGUAACUUCUCACGUUUUGGGUGAGUGUUGAGUCUUCUUGUUGAGCUGGAUACAUCUUUGGUUUUAUGUUCUUACACAUGCUUUUUUUUGUUUCUCUUAGGGCGCACCCAGACAGCACCUAAAAUACACACCUUCCUGUGUUUUUCCCUGGGGCGUCCAAAGAACUCCUCAGCGAACCAACACCACUGGAGAUAGAGGAUUUGGAGUAUGUGAAGGGACUAUGGUGAAAGAAGAACCGAAGAGGAGGACGAAGAAAACGGGGGCGCCAUGUCAUGCAGCCAGAUCCCAGGGCUGAAUUUCCAAGCCCUGAAUCUGACUUCAUAACAUAAACAUGCGAGCACCUGGCGGGAGAAGAUAAAAUGAGCCUGGGAACUCAGGGGUGAAAGUAUAAACAAUUAUAAUUGCUGUAGUGUGGGGGGGGGAUAGAAACCUUGGUGGAAAUGUGAUCCAGAAGGUGGGGUUUGAUGAUGAUAUUUGCGUGUGAUAUUACGUUGCAUCAGAAGUGAUAAAAUUAGAUGUAUGUAAACAUUAGGUCAUUCUCGACUUUUCCAAAGUCAUGUAUUCUUCAAUAAAGAUUGUGUUUGAGAGCAGCUGUC